GUGAGGAAUUUUCCGCAAUGGACGAAAGUCUGAUGGUGCAACGCCGCGUGGAGGAUGAAGGUCUUCGGAUUGUAAACUCCUGUCAUCGGGGAGUAAGACCUGGCGGUAAAUAGCCGACAGGGUUGAUAGUACCCGAAGAGGAAGGGACGGCUAACUUCGUGCCAGCAGCCGCGGUAAUACGAAGGUCCCAAGCGUUGUUCGGAAUCACUGGGCGUAAAGGGAGCGUAGGCGGCGUGGUAAGUCAGAUGUGAAAUCCCGGGGCUCAACCCCGGAACUGCAUCCGAUACUGCCAUGCUUGAGGGUUGGAGAGGUAGCUGGAAUUCUCGGUGUAGCAGUGAAAUGCGUGGAUAUCGAGAGGAACACUCGUGGCGAAGGCGAGCUACUGGACAACAUCUGACGCUGAGGCUCGAAGGCCAGGGGAGCAAAAGGGAUUAGAUACCCCAGUAGUCC
rnacentral:rRNA from 1 species